rnacentral:lncRNA from 10 species
CUCGGGAGGCUGUGAGGCAGGAGAAUGGCGUGAACCCGGGAGGUGGAGCUUGCAGUGAGCUGAGAUCGCGCCACUGCACUCCAGCCUGGGGACAGAGUGAGACUCCGUCUCAAAAAAAAAAAAAAUACUGAAAAGUAUAAUUCAGGAACAUUUUUCUGAAAUACAUUUAGAUUUGAAUCUACAAAUUGAAAGGAUAGCCAGGAUGACUAAGACAUACUCUUACAAAAUACUAGACUUGAACAAAAAAAGAAAGAUAUCCUUUGGCCAUUCAGGCAUAAAGACUGAGUUGUUAAGAGAAAGAAAACCAGAUAGACUGUGACAGCAAAGCUUUAUAACAAGUAAAUGGAGUAACAAUUACAAUAAAGAAAAUGUGAGCCAAAGAUUUUGUGCUUUGUCAAGCUAAUGUUCAGUUAUAAAGAUCACAGACAAACAUCAAUGUGUAAGUACUUGGAAUAUUGCUCUUUCCGGCAUUGUUUCGCGCUGCCACAAUGGUGUGUGUGAACAUCCUACCUGUUGCUCUCAAGAGUAUCACCAAUGCCGAAAAGAGAGGGAAACGCCGGUUCUUACUAGGCCAUGCUCCAAAGUCAUUGUCCAACUUCUAGCUGUGAUGAUGAAGCAUCGUUACAUUGGCAAAUUUGAAAUCAUUGAUGAUAACAGAGCUGGGAAAAUUGUGAACCUCACAGGCAGGCUAAACAAGUGUAGAGCCCCAGCUUUGAUUUGCAACUCAAAGAUCUAGAAAAACGGCAGAACAAUCUGCUUCUAUCCCAACCAUUUGACUUCGUCAUAUUGACAGCCUUAGCUGGUAUCAUGGACCAUGAAGAAGCAAGACGAAAACACACAGGAGGGAAAAUCCUUGGAUUUUGUUUCUAGGGAUGCAAUACAUAUUUACAAAUAAAAUGCCUCAAAAAAAAAAA